rnacentral:lncRNA from 1 species
AUGAGGACCCUGAGGGAAACCCAAAGCCUCCAGGAGGGGCUUCAAGGCGAGUGGGCCUUGAAGGCUCAGGGGCAGGCGGGAAAGGGGGAAAGGGCAUUGCUGAGGAAGCAGCGUGUUCAAAGGCUGUGCUCUGAAUGCAGGGGCAUGCCCGAGGACCAUGGUGGAGGCGCGUGGCAGAGUCCUCGGGUCCAUUGCUGCAGAGGGAGGCCUGGGACCAGCUGGAGCCAGGUCAGAGCUUUGAAGCUGUCAGCCUGCUGUCUUUCUUUGCAUACUCGCUUGACAGAGUUUAGUGUCAUCCUUGAUCACCCUGCCUAUGACCAAGUUGUGAACAAAACCCUUGAAGGGCACAGCAUUCGAGACGGCAUUGCGCUAGAGACGACACCACAUGACUGUAGUCUGACCAGGAACACGCUUCCCCAUCCCAGCCUCAGAGCGUUUCCAGGAUCUUGCCUUUGAUUGCCAGCGUUGCCCUGUUCUGCCAGCCUAGACAAGAAGAGGAAGUGAAAGCAGCCUGGCUCCAUUCUUGGUGAUCUUUCUUUUCCUUUGGAGGCUCACAGAUCAUCUGUUGGCUGACCUCACCCUGGGCUGAUGUCAAAUUCACUUUUUCCCCUGGGCUGCGCUGGGUCCCAUUGUCUGGCAACAGAAUACCUGUGUGCCCUCGCCUGAUCCCCUGGGCCACCCCGCCAAAGCAGGGUCUCUGGCUCUGCCAAAGCAGGAAGGAUGGGCUCUGGGUGUUGCCGGACUGCUCUGGUGGGGAGAAGCUAAGGGGUGCAGUGAUGGAGGGAGAGAAGAGAGAUCGCCCUGCAGGCCAGAAGGUUGUGCUCAGGAUGGAGUCAGCAGCCAUUUGUGAUCUCCCAGAACACUGGCUGGAAAGUGCCUGAGAUUCUCAGUACUUGGCAUCUGUUCUUUAAAGACAGUUGCCCUGCCUCCUUGGGUAGAAGGCAAGUGCUCCUCGAAGGGGACACAGUUCUCAGCUGUCCUCUGCGUGCAGUUUCCUUGGUGAGAAGGAGACUCUAGCUCUUGCAGGCAUUGAGAAGAGGCCAGAGGGGCUGGACCAGGAGGCUGGGGAGGUGAGGCCCAGGUUGAGCUUUGUGACAGGGAGCUCUGUGUUGGGCACCCAUGUGGGGCACCCCACGAGAUGAUGGGGAAAUAGGGUGAGCCCAGGGUGGAAGGAUGGAAGAGUUCUUGUCUCCCCACGCACUUGGCCUAGCUAACUCCCGUUUGUCCUUCACAUCUCGGCUUCAGUGUCACUUCCUCAAGGAAGCCCUCCCACCCCCCAGACUGGGUUAGAUCCCCCGUCAUCCGCUCCCAUAGCCCCCACUUUUUAUGCAUAGCCCUUAGCUCUUGUUGCAACGUGCACCCGUCUCUCCCUUCACCCCAUCCAAAAACACCACAGGCUGUGAGGGCAGUGGCCGCGUCUGUCUGGUCACCACCGACCCCAGCACCUAACCCGGUG